rnacentral:lncRNA from 1 species
CAGUGAAGAAUAUUGUUGCAGAAAUUCUGAACUGCCCCAGAGCCGUGGCAAGAAAGUCCAGAGAUUAUUAUUGGCCGUAUAGAAUAAUGAUUCUACACAUUUACAAGAACCCAAAGGAAAUGAUGGCAGAAAUUCUCCAACACAUCAGAUGUGGAUGAAAGAAAAGUCUCCAUGUUUAUCAAAAAGAGGCUGCAUUGUGCCAGAGAUUGAAU